CACACACACACACACACACACACAUAUAUAUAAAGCACAUUAAAGCCAAAGCCUCCACGUGUUCACAUGGUGUGUGUUCAGCGCAGGUGUGAACGCUUUAAUGGUGUGAACACUUGAGAUGUGAAUACUUUAAGGUGUGAACGCUUUAAGGUGUGAACGCUUUAAUGGUGUGAACACUUUAAGGUGUGAACGCUUUAAUGGUGUGAACACUUGAGGUGUGAACACUUGAGAUGUGAACGCUUUAAUGGUGUGAACACUUUAAUGGUGUGAACGCUUUAAGGUGUGAACGCUUUAAUGGUGUGAACACUUUAAUGGUGUGAACGCUUUAAUGGUGUGAACACUUUAAUGGUGUGAACGCUUUAAGGUGUGAACGCUUUAAUGGUGUGAACACUUGAGAUGUGAACGCUUUAAUGGUGUGAACACUUUAAUGGUGUGAACGCUUUAAGAUGUGAACGCUUUAAUGGUGUGAACACUUUAAUGGUGUGAACGCUUUAAUGGUGUGAACACUUUAAUGGUGUGAACACUUUAAUGGUGUGAACGCUUUAAGGUGUGAAUGCUUUAAGGUGUGAACACUUUAAGAUGUGAACGCUUGAGGUGUCAACGCUUGAGCUGUGAACGCUUUAAGGUGUGAACGUUUUAAGGUGUGAACGCUUUAAGGUGUGAACACUUGAAGGUGUGAACGCUUUAAGAUGUGAACGCUUGAGGUGUCAACGCUUGAGGUGUGAACGUUUUAAGGUGUGAACGCUUGAAGGUGUCAACACUUGAGAUGUGAACGCUUAAGGUGUGAACGCUUGAAGGUGUGAACGCUUUGAGGUGUGAACGCUUGAAGGUGUGAACGCUUUGAGGGUGUGAACGCUUUAAUGGUGUGAAUGCUUGAGAUGUGAAUGCUUUCAGGUGUGAACGCUUUAAUGGUGUGAACGCUUUAAGGUGUGAACACUUGUAGGUGUGAACGCUUUAUGGUGUGAACGCAUUAAGGUGUGAACUCUUUAAGGUGGGAACACUUUAUUGUGUGAACACUUGCAGGUGUGAACGCUUUAAGGUGUGAAUGCUUUAAGGUGUGAACACUUGCAGGUGUGAAUGCUUUAAGGUGUGAACACUUUAAGGUGUGAACACUUGCAGAUGUGAACGCAGCAUCAACCUGGCGAAUG